rnacentral:lncRNA from 1 species
GUAAUGUAGCAUGAGGGUGGUGACUGGUGAGGGGCAAUGUUGACACCUUCUCGAAGGUUGGGGUUGGUGAUGGAUUAUAGAUACUCAGGAUGAAUUAGUUGUGAUGCCUUUUUUCUUUUAUUUUUUGGUGAGAACUAUUGGUGAAGCAUCACUGUUAAGGAGGCAAUGGUACAGAAAUUGAUAUAGAAUAUUCGAGGAGGAAGG